UGAGGGAUAUUGGUCAAUGGGCGCAAGCCUGAACCAGCGACGCCGCGUGGGUGAAGGAGGUCUUCGGAUCGUAAAGCCCUUUUCCCACUGAAGAGGAAGGACGGUAGGUGGGGAAGAAGUCUCGGCUAACUACGUGCCAGCGGCCGCGGUAAAACGUAGGAGACAAGCGUUAUCCGGAGUUACUGGGCGUAAAGGGCGUGCAGGUGGCGUCUUAAGUCUGUUGUGAAAGCGCCUGGCUUAACCGGGCGAGGACAAUGGAGACUGAGAGGCUGGAGGACGGCGGAGGUGUGUGGAAUUCCGGGUGUAGUGGUGAAAUGCGUAGAGAUCCGGAGGAACACCAGAGGCGAAGGCGGCACUCUAAGCCGUACCUGACACUGAGACGCGACAGCACGGGG
rnacentral:rRNA from 1 species